UACAGGGGGUGCAAACGUUGCUCGGAAUUAUUGGGCGUAAAGCGCGCGUAGGCGGCUACUUAAGUCGGAUGUGAAAGCCCUUGGCUCAACUGAGGAAGUGCACCCGAAACUGAGUGGCUAGAGUACGAAAGAGGGUCGCGGAAUUCCCGGUGUAGAGGUGAAAUUCGUAGAUAUCGGGAGGAACACCGGUGGCGAAGGCGGUUCUCUGGGCCUGUACUGACGCUGAGGAGCGAAAGCGUGGGGAGCGAACAGG
rnacentral:rRNA from 1 species